GAAGUUUGACAGACAAUCGCCGGCGGGGCAACCCGCGGGAGGAAAGUCCGGGCUCCAUAGGGCAGGGUGCUGGAUAACGUCCAGUCGUCGCGAGACGAAGGAUAGUGCCACAGAAACGGACCGCCGAUGGCUUUCGCGAGAAAGCACAGGCAAGGGUGGAACCGUGGUGUAAGAGACCACGAGGAGGCAUGGCGACAUGUCUGCUGGUAAACCCCACCUGGAGCAAGACCUAAGAGGAACGCGGCAGCUUCGCGCUGCGACCCUUGCCCGGGGUGCGUUCGGGUUGGUCGCUGGAGCGGCGCAGCAAUGCGUCGCCUAGAUAGAUGAUUGUCGCUUCAACGGUGGGAGGGCAGGUGACCCGUUACGACCACUGGAAGCACAGAACCCGGCUUACGGCAAACUUCUCUU
rnacentral:RNase_P_RNA from 1 species